AUUAAUAAGCGGAGACUAUUUAUGUGUCUUUGUUUAGAUGAACAUGGAGGUAUAGCAAAUAGGCCGAGAUAUCGUUUCAGUCGUCAUUUAUUGGGUUGACGAUUUGAUUGUUGCUCGUCCAUAU